rnacentral:tRNA from 1 species
AGGCUAUUAUGCUAAAAAUUAGGGCUUCUAACCCAAAUUUGAUUGGUUAAAUCCCAGUCAUAGCCUU